GGAGAGCGUUCUUUCUUCCG
rnacentral:rRNA from 1 species